AGCCUCUGUGUUUUUUUAGUCUAACUUUAUUGAGCCUUUCGAUGGCUAAGUUGAAGAUCUCUCUUGGAAACAGUUUCUAUGGAAAGAAAUCUGAGCUAACCUGUUGGGGAGGUCAUACAGCAAGAAAGAGGCCCUGGAGGAUAAGAAGCCACAUAGGAAAGAACCAAAGUGCCCCAAUGGACAGCCAGCACCCAGACAUGUAAGAAAACUGAAAACUGCCAGUACUAUCUGUAGUAAAAUGAUCAAAGGAGGUAUCCUUAAGA